rnacentral:rRNA from 1 species
AUUGAACGCUGGCGGCAGGCCUAACACAUGCAAGUCGAGCGAGCGGCGGACGGGUGAGUAAUGUCUGGGAAACUGCCUGAUGGAGGGGGAUAACUACUGGAAACGGUAGCUAAUACCGCAUACCAUCAGCUGUGCCCAGAUGGGAUUAGCUAGUAGGUGGGGUAAUGGCUCACCUAGGCGACGAUCCCUAGCUGGUAUGAGAGGAUGACCAGCCACACUGGAACUGAGUCACGGCCCAGACUCCUACGGGAGGCAGCAGUGGGGAAUAUUGCACAAUGGGCGCAAGCCGGAUGCAGCCAUGCCGCGUGUAUGAAGAAGGCCUUCGGGUUGUAAAGUACUUUCAGCGAGGAGGCGGUACUCGCAGAAGAAGCACCGGCUAACUCCGUGCCAGCAGCCGCGGUAAUAC